UUCAGCCACAAGGGGAGAUGGAUUAGGCCAUCUGAGAGUAAGGUCCGUUGAAACCUUUGACCCUUUGAACCUGAUCUGGUUGAUACCAGCGUAGGGAUGUGGGAUAUAAAAUGA
rnacentral:ncRNA from 2 species